rnacentral:rRNA from 1 species
CAUCGAUGAAGAACGCAGCGAAAUGCGAUAAGUAAUGUGAAUUGCAGAAUUCAGUGAAUCAUCGAAUCUUUGAACGCACCUUGCGCUCCUUGGUAUUCCGAGGAGCAUGCCUGUNUGAGUGUCA